rnacentral:rRNA from 1 species
GAAGGUCACGGCGAGACGAGCC